CUUUCCACCCUCGGAGGUGGAAAAAUUUUUUCGGAGAAGAAAAAAUGCCCGCUGGCUUCCUUCUCCUUCUCCGUCUUGUUGCGAGAGGAAGAAAGAAGGGGCGGCAGGAUUCUGGAGUAGCGGGAGAGGGUUUCUCUUCGUCUCCCCCUUCCUCUGCCUUCCUCUUCUCUCCCCCGGACGUCUCGGCCCGCGGCAAUAGAGGGCCUACUGAUGUCUGGGGACGGGCAUAAAGCUCAAAGUAUCAGUGGCAUGGACUGUAAAGACUAUAAGGUGUUAAUUGGUUUUAGCGAGAAGGCUUACAAUAUCUUUCUAGAUUUCAUGACAAGGGUUGCUGAGUUUGAAGAGUUGGUAAAUGUUGGUGGUCGAUUUCUUUCAACCUAUAAAUCGGAACUAGAGUUAUUUCGGCGGCCUCCCUUACAGAUGAAGACUACUGUCAUCAAAGAGAUUAUGGAAGCAAAUAAUAGCGGAUGGAUGAGGUCAUACAUUGAAGCAGGAUGCAGGCAUCAACACACAGACAUAGACAACAUAAACAAGUUGAACAUGUGCCAGCAAGGAAUCCAUGAACAUAUAGUGAAGGCAACGACCCUUCUUGAUGAACUUGGGUGUCUCAUGGAGAAUGUGCUUGUGUUAGUUAAGGAGGAAAUUGAGAAAUUAUCACAUUAUAUGGAUGAGCUCCAGGAUGAUGGUUUGGUUUAUCCAUUAAUUAGGGCGGAGGAGGUAAAUGUGAUGCUGUUACAUGCUUGUUGUGAAAAUUUAGUAUUGCAUCAGUCAGGUUGUCUGAAAGAUCAUGAUGAUGCGUUCUUUGUAUAUCCAACUGUGUAGUGUGGCUUGUUUCAGAAAAGAUUUAAACAGAUGUGUGGUUUCCUUGUAAGUUGUUUCAAUAAUACAAGGGGAAAGCAUUUAUUAUUAUUAUUUUCCUUCUCCAAUAGUUUACAUUGUUUUUGUAAGAAAAAUAAAUCUUGUAGGCAGUCUCGCUAGAAAUCCCUUGCCACUAAAAGUUCCUGAAAAUUGUAUCUUAACGUUCUCCAGAUACAUUUUGAACACAUCUUUUAUUUGGGUCUGGUGUCCAGAUUAAUAGUUACCUUCAAGGUUAGUGGCUUUAGCGUGAAGGUGUAAGAUAGAGUUAGUGAAUGAUUCAGACACAUUUUGAAUUGAUUGAACAAUGAAUAAAGGAAAUGGAAGGUCGAAGACACUGAAAUUAGCAACCAUGAGUGAUGAUAAUACUCUUCUAUACAUGUAUCUAUAUGUGUGUGUGUAGAAAGUUUAGGAAGUUAUUGUAAAUUCUAAUAAAUGAAGGUUUAAAAGUAAAAAUAGAAAAGAUGAAACUCUCUCUCUUUCGCUGUGGUGGCUACCACUGUCUCCCUGCCACCACUACAUCUGACAGUGAGUACGUCCUCCUUCUCCUCUUCUUCUUCUUCUUCUUCUUCAUCUUUCUCCUUCUCUUCAUCCUCCUCCUCCUUUCUGCCACUGGCACACCCAAGCCACAGGUGCAUCACCUUGAUAAGGGGCCUAAGUACUGCAUCCAUGUAAGGCCAGAUAUUGCUUGGAAUUAUGUUUACAACCCUGCUAGCUUUGCAGAAAGGUCGAUGUUUUAAGAUAUGUAACUUCUAUAAGGUUAUGUUGUAAUUUUUAAAUAUAGAAAACUACUGCAAUCUGAUUGUGACACCCACAGGCACAAUUGGAUAGUGGAUAAAAUAUGAACUACAAUUACUCAGGUGAACAAAACAUUACUGAGUUCACUUAAUAGUUGAUUUCUAUAAAGCAUCUGUCUUCAAUUUGGAUAAAUAUAUAAAUGGCCACAACCAUGCCCUUUCACAUGCUAUGCUGCAGAGCAGAUUCUUGACCUGACUUGUGACUGGUUUUGGUGUUGAUGAUGUAUAUUUUCAUUAUUUCUCCCUGCCUUACUGCUGCACACUCUAUUUUUGUUUGCAUGCGCCAUGCUUACCAUGGAUUUGUUACUUUCAAUUUUUCUCGACAUCAUUGACUAGUUCCUUCAACAUCACUGUAUUCAUGAAGCGUAUAAUUUUUGGUCAUUCCUUUGCAUUGGGUUCAUGUUACUUUUUGAUCUUUGCUUGGUGCACAAGUGAGUAUAGGUAUGCUAUCAUCAAUGAAAGCUCUCUCUCUCUCUCUCUCUCUCUCUCUCUCUCUCUAUGUAUAUAUAUAUAUAUGUGUGUGUGUGUGUGUGUGUGUGUGUGUGUAUAUAUGUAUAUGUAUAUAUAUAUAUAUAUGUAUGUAUAUGUGUGUGUGUGUGUGUGUGUGUGUGUAUAUAUAUAUAUAUAUAAAGUGCAUUCAACCAGUUUCAUUUUUGGGUUUAAUUUUAUACUUUCGCGUAACAGUCAGGCCGACCUAUACGCCAUAUCGUAACGUAUCGCAAACGUAGCGUAGCGUAUCGUAAAAUUAAUUUUUUAAUUUUUAAAAAAUAUUAAAAAGUCCGAAAAAAAUAGAGAAAAUCAUAAAAAAUCCGAAAAAAUAAGCAAAAAAUCAAGAAAAAUGUAUUUAAAGGAACAUUCAUGUAUAUGAAGUUAUGAACAACACAAUUGACACAUUCCAAAAUAAGAAAUCAGAGAUUCAAAAUAACAUAAUAAGCAUCAGUCUUAGCCUCUUAGGACUUAGAUUACAUCACAAUUUAUAAGUUCAAAACUUAUAGUUAUCAUCUUUCAUUAUUCAAUGAUAAUCCUCAUCAUCUGCAUCAUCAUCUUCAUUUUCUUCAUUAAUUGCUUCUAUCCCAUCUGUUGGAAUGUCACCAACAUUUCAUUACUCUCCAGCCUCCUUCUUCUGAAAUCUCUGCUGGUCCUUCAAUGUUCAACAAAUCCAGAUCCUUCUCAUCAAGGAUCGCAUAUGGUUCUUCUUUUCAACCCAAGAAUCUAAUACAUCAAAAUGGUCAAGGCUGAUAGGAUCAAAUUAAGUGUGAUGCUUCCUCGUAGAUGCUGCUUCUAUUUGCCUGAAGUGUAACAAGAGAAAAAAUUAACAAAUUGUUAAAAUUUAAAAUAUAUAUUAGAAUUGGCUAUUUUGCAUAAAAAAUGUAUUUAAUUUACCUUUGUCUCAACUUCAUAUUAUAACGAACGUAAACAAGGUCAUUCAACCUUUUAUGUUCCAACCUAUUUUUCUUUUUACUGUUGAUGUGCUGAAAUACACUUCAAUUUCUUUCACAUCCAGUUGCACUGCAUGUUUGGCUGAGGAUUCUAAUUGCAAGCUUCUUUAAUUCUGGGCAAUCAAGCCCAAACCUGCUCCACCACAAACCUAAUAACAGAUGGAAAGUAAAUACGAAAUAGUAAAUAUAUGAGAAGGUAGAAACAACAAAUAAAAUAAUAACCAAAAAGUAGAUAAGAUAAAGUCCCUUUUUCUAAUACCUGGACGCAAAGAUGGCCUGCAUCGAAUUGCUAUGUCUCUCUCCUUGCUACCAUAACAAGUAACAUAUUUGUCGAUCGACUUUGUUCCCUAUAAUCACUUACCAAUAUCUCAAUACAAUCCAACAUGCCAUACUCGACCUCUCUGUCCUUCUUAAAAGUGGGAAGAUAUCUAAUAGCAAGAUUUAGGUAGUAUGCUGUUGUAUGAAGUGGGCGAUGAAGUUGUCCAGACCAACUUUCAUCUAUAAUCUUCCAUAUAGGCAUGAACAACUUUUUUCCCUUCAUAUUAUCUGUAAUGGCCUCGUUUGCUCUGUCCAUAGCGUCAUAUAAAUAUCCAAUAGAAGGUCUAUCUUCAUUGUCAACCAAUCUGAGAACUUUCAUUAGAGGUACACAAAUCUUCAAUAACUUCACACAUGAUUCCCAAAGUCAGCAUUGAAUAUAGUAUCCACAACUGUCGUGGCCUUUCUUUUAUAGGCAUGUGGAUAUGCAACCCAAUGAUCACUUGAAAACAUCUUGCCUGAGAUGAUUUCUUUGCUUGACUAUACCCUGCACAGUUAAAACAUUUGUAGCAAACCGUGUUUGUGCAGGUUGAAUCAAUUCAACCCCAUUGUGAUUUUUCUCAUCAAAUUCAAUAUAUAAGCAUGAUUAUAAAUAAACUUCGUGAUUUCUUGGCAUCUUUGAACUGUCUACUUCAUAUCAUCUUUUUCACCAAGAUCCUGAAGCAUUAGAUUUAAACAGUGAGCAGCACACUGACUCCAAUAAAAUGUUCUAUAUCGUGUUGCUAACAUUUCACCUGCAGCUUUAUAAUUUGCUGCAUUACCAGUGAUAAAUUGCAUGACAUUCUGAGGCCAAACUUCUUGUAUAACUUCAUAAAAAAUCUCACGCAAAACAUCAACAGUCUUAGGAGUAUCAGACAAAUCAAUAGAUUUUAAGAACGUUGUACCUAAGGGGCAAUAUACAAUGAAGUUUACCAAUGUUCUGUUCUUGAUGUCUGUCUAUCCAUCUGCCAUUACAUUGCAUCCUAUGUCUUUUCAACUCAAUUUCAAUUUAUCACAAUAUGCCUUGACAUCUCUAACUGCAUUAUUAAGAAUUUUAUCUCGCAAUUUAUGAUAAAAGGGCAUUUUAUACCCUCGGUCUAUAGAAGCAAUCACAUCUGCUAUAGGCUGAAAAUGAAAAGAGUUUGUUGCAUUAAAGGGAAUGGAUGUGACAUAGAACCACCUUCCUAUGGUAUCAUCUCCUGCGUCAACAAUAUCCUUUGAACACAUGGCUGUAGUUAUGUCAGGCUGAGAACCAGCAACAGUAUAAGUGGAAAAAAAAUUCUUUGUCGAACUAGACCCAAUUCUCGACCUCAUAGUAGGUACUCUACCACCACCAAUUCCAAUAGUACGACUGACUCCUGCCACGUCCUCGUGAAACUGUACUUGCACCUCUUCUUUUUCUGGUUGCAGUUGAAGAACCACCUCUAUGCAUGAUGCCUUUGCUGUUCCCAAACUGACACCAACAUCUUCUUCUUCGAGCUCAACAUCUUCACAUUCACUUCCUUCUUCUUCAUAUUUGUCCCCAUAUCCUACAUCUGCCUCAUGCAUUUCUUUUUCAAUCAUAUUUUCUUUCACGACAUUAAUAAACUCUAAACAUUGGUGCUUGACAUAGGGUGGCAAUGGGUUUUCUUGGGAGCCAGUGCAUUGAGUCACAUCGUUGUGUGUACCAGCUAUAUGGUGUUUAAAGCGAGAGAUCUCUCCUGGAUCUAAAUAAGAGAAACGAACGAUUCAACGGUGAAAAUGAGUUAUUUUUUACCUUCUUGGUGUUAGAAACCAAAAAACCCUCUUUUUCCAAGCUUCCCACUGUUCCCACUACGAGAAAACUUCUUUCACCAGCUACUAGACUUUCCCAAAUCGAUGAAUCCUUAGUGAUUUUUUAUGAAAAUGGGCAAAAUUUCUCCCUCCCACAUCUCUUGCAGUAUUUAAAAACAAGAAAAGAGAGAGAGAGGAGCGUAGGUCUUUAAAACAUGACGCAAAAAAGGGGCCGUUGGGCCCCUUUAUAAUUGUUUUCUCAUAUCGCCGUUGGGCCCCUUUAUAAUUGUUUUCUCAUAUCGUACGAUACGAACGAUAUGCUUAUGAUACACGAGCGUAUCGUAAGCAUACCGUAUAGGUUUUCUAAACCUAUACGGUACGUAUCGUGUCGCCUAUACGCCCUAAAGAAGUCUUUUAAAGCGGGAGAAACGUCAAAGCCCAAAGCAAAUUUCGUAAAGACUUCUCAAACCAUCAAGAAGGUGGAGAGUAGACCGGCUUGCCAUAACAAUACACCCAUCAAAUAUAUCACCUUGCAGGAGAGAGGAGCAGAUUAAACAUGGUCUCUGCUUCAACUGUGAAGAGAAAUGGGUGAAGGGACAUAAAUGUAAAUGCUUUCAACUCUAUGAGGUGAUAGAUGAUAGUGAUGAGGAUGAGCAACCCACAGGGGAACCGGCUACGGAUAACAUUGGUUCAAACUUCAAACUACAACCGAGUUACUGCUGGGAAUUGGAUGCAAGUAAAACUACUGGGUGCUGGUCAAAUUACUGCUGCUUAUUGGAAAGAAGCUACUUGAUUAUGUUUUUCAGUUUUCAUCUGAAGAGGGAAUGUGGACAAAUAACCAGUGUAACUCACUAAGUUUACUUGUACUGUUUUAAAGAUUGUGUUCUAUAUUCUGUCCAUAUUGGCUGUUUUCCUAGAAUUCCUUGUUCUUUUACAUAUGCUGUAAGUUUUCGGUCAGAAGUCCAUAAUGAGACUGAUUGAUUUCUGUAUAUAGCACAGCGAAAUAAUCUCUUAACAUUCUUUUCUUAA